GCAGCACGGGAGCUUGCUCCUGGUGGCGAGUGGCGAACGGGUGAGUAAUGCAUCGGAACGUGCCCAUUUGUGGGGGAUAACUAGUCGAAAGACUAGCUAAUACCGCAUAAGCUCGAGAGAGGAAAGCGGGGGAUCGAAAGACCUCGCGCAGAUGGAGCGGCCGAUGUCCGAUUAGCUAGUUGGUGAGGUAAAGGCUCACCAAGGCGACGAUCGGUAGCUGGUCUGAGAGGACGACCAGCCACACUGGGACUGAGACACGGCCCAGACUCCUACGGGAGGCAGCAGUGGGGAAUUUUGGACAAUGGGGGCAACCCUGAUCCAGCCAUUCCGCGUGUGGGAAGAAGGCCUUCGGGUUGUAAACCACUUUCGGACGGGAAGAAAUCGACGUGACAAAUAAUCGUGUCGGAUGACGGUACCGUAAGAAGAAGCACCGGCUAACUACGUGCCAGCAGCCGCGGUAAUACGUAGGGUGCGAGCGUUAAUCGGAAUUACUGGGCGUAAAGCGUGCGCAGGCGGUUAUGUAAGACAGAUGUGAAAUCCCCGGGCUUAACCUGGGAACUGCGUUUGUGACUGCAUAACUGGAGUACGGCAGAGGGGGGUGGAAUUCCUGGUGUAGCAGUGAAAUGCGUAGAUAUCAGGAGGAACACCGAUGGCGAAGGCA
rnacentral:rRNA from 1 species